AAGUCGUAACAAGGUUUCCGUAGGUGAACCUGCGGAAGGAUCAUUACCGAGUUGAUUCGAGCUCCGGCUCGACUCUCCCACCCUUUGUUUACCUACCUCUGUUGCUUUGGCGGUGCCGCCCCCGGGCGCCCGCCAGAGGACUUCAAAACUCCAGUCAGUGAACGUCUCAGUCUGAAAAACAAGUUAAUAAACUAAAACUUUCAACAACGGAUCUCUUGGUUCUG
rnacentral:misc_RNA from 1 species